CAAUUUGAAAAAUGUUAGAUGAAAGAUGAAUGUUAGAUGAAAAAUUCAUAAACUUCUUUCCUUAUUACAAUUCGCCGACCAUCAUUUUUAAAGAUAUUUCUUGUUUAAUCUGUUUCUUGUUUUAAUGUACGUUCAUUUUUUGCAGAAACCAGAAACGCUUGUUUGAUGUGUAUCAAUAUCGUCUGCUAGAGUGCUAAUGAACGGAAUGUGGUGAUCUAUUAAGCACUGGUACUCUUCCAACACUAAAUGCAGUUACCAUUAAAACAACUUUGUCUAAUUGAAAACUGCACACUCCACGUCCAAAACCAGACUUUAUGAUUACCCACAUCAUGCAAGGAAAAUAUCAAUACAGAAAUCCGUUGUAUUUAACUCGAGGGGAUUUUGCCAUUUGUGGAUUGAACGAGGUCUUGCGAGCCAAAUACAUCACUGUAGAUCAAGGGUCAAGGAUUCUUCAUGUGAGGCAGCCAUCUAAGUAAGAUCGGCAAUUCUACCAAGGCGACCACCCAUGUCUGAAGCAAAGCUUGGAGGGGCCCAUAGGGUAUUCUUAUACCAUCAAAGCUGGUAAAUGAAUCUAUAAGAUGACCCUUUUGAAAUAUAGAAUGCAACAAAGCAAAUUAAUAGCGGACUCAGUUUGAGUGAAGAAUAUGAAAUACCUCCGAUCAUAUUUUGCAUUUUGUCAAAUUGUUAAGACUGUUUUUUUUUAUUUGCAAUUUUAGAAGAAAAGAAUGCAAGUGAACACUUUCAUGACAUUUUCCUGCUUCUUACGUGUUCAGAGUGAGAUAGGUUAUCGACAAGAACAGAAAAGUGUAACUUUGGAACAUUUAUCUGAUUUGCAUAAAAUCAUAAUAAUUGUAUAUUUACCUUUCCAUGU
rnacentral:lncRNA from 1 species